rnacentral:lncRNA from 1 species
UUUGAUCGAUUUUUUUUGAAAACUUAGUCAUUUUUAUUUUAUAUAUCUUUCGAGUAAAACAUACAUCUGAUCCUAUCUCGAUAUAAGUAAAAGGUAUCAAAUGAUUGAAUCUGUGCUACUAACAUGAUUAAUAUUACGAAUCAAAUGAAAAAUCAUUGAAAGCAAACCUUAAAAAAUUCAUGGCUAGCGGAGAUUGGAGGUCGCACUCGGAGUGAUUUGAAACUUUUGUUCUGGUGGAUCACAACACGAAACCGGUAAGCUAAUUGCAACAAUAGAUCAAUUAUUUAUCCCAUUAAUAUCCUAAUUAUCAAACUAACAACCCUAGUUUACAGAUGCGAGAAAUCAAUUGAUAAUCAAACACAAAUCAGAAGAUAAAAUGACGCGUAAUCGUACAUCAAUUCAUCGGAAAGCAGAGUUUCAGAUCUGCCGGAGAAUUUUGGAGGAGAUUACCUGCCGUCUGCAGUUGAUCGCCGACUUCAGUGAAAAAACUGUAUAAAUUCCUUUUGCUUACUACCGAGAAGAUUAGGAAGGCCAAAUUAGUUACAAGUAGAAGUUGUCGCUUUUAAAAAAUAACUUUAUUCGUUUAUUUUAAAGUAGAAUUUAUUAUUUAUACUGGAGUAAUUUUUAUCUAUAAAUUUUAAUUUACCAAAAUGGUUAAAGUUUGAAAUCGGAGAGAGUGAUUUUAUAAUAUAU